UACAGAGGGGGCCAGCGUUAUUCGGAAUUAUUGGGCGUAAAGCGCACGUAGGCGGCUUUGCAAGUCGGAUGUGAAAUCCCUCGGCUUAACCAAGGAAGUGCAUCCGAAACUGCAGAGCUUGAGUACUUAAGAGGAUCGCGGAAUUCCCGGUGUAGAGGUGAAAUUCGUAGAUAUCGGGAGGAACACCAGUGGCGAAGGCGGCGAUCUGGGAAGAUACUGACGCUGAGGUGCGAAAGCGUGGGGAGCAAACAGG
rnacentral:rRNA from 1 species